UUGGAGCGGCCGAUAUCAGAUUAGCUAGUUGGUGGGGUAAAGGCCUACCAAGGCAACGAUCUGUAGUUGGUCUGAGAGGACGACCAGCCACACUGGGACUGAGACACGGCCAGACUCCUACGGGAGGCAGCAGUGGGGAAUUUUGGACAAUGGGCGCAAGCCUGAUCCAGCAAUGCCGCGUGCAGGAAGAAGGCCUUCGGGUUGUAAACUGCUUUUGUCAGGGAAGAAAUCCUCUAGGUUAAUACCCUUGGGGGAUGACGGUACCUGAAGAAUAAGCACCGGCUAACUACGUGCCAGCAGCCGCGGUAAUACGUAGGGUGCAAGCGUUAAUCGGAAUUACUGGGCGUAAAGCGUGCGCAGGCGGCUUUGCAAGACAGAUGUGAAAUCCCCGGGCUCAACCUGGGAACUGCAUUUGUGACUGCAAGGCUAGAGUACGGUAGAGGGGGAUGGAAUUCCGCGUGUAGCAGUGAAAUGCGUAGAUAUGCGGAGGAACACCAAUGGCGAAGGCAAUCCCCUGG
rnacentral:rRNA from 1 species